rnacentral:rRNA from 1 species
UACGUAGGGGGCAAGCGUUGUCCGGAUUUAUUGGGCGUAAAGAGCGUGUAGGCGGCCAUACAGGUCAGCUGUGAAAACUCGAGGCUCAACCUCGAGACGUCGGUUGAAACCGUAUGGCUAGAGUCCGGAAGAGGAGAGUGGAAUUCCCGGUGUAGCGGUGAAAUGCGCAGAUAUCGGGAAGAACACCCAUGGCGAAGGCAGCUCUCUGGGACGGUACUGACGCUGAGACGCGGAAAGCGUGGGGAUCAAACA